CACGUAGGGGGCAAGCGUUGUCCGGAUUUAUUGGGCGUAAAGAGCUCGUAGGUGGUUCGGUAAGUCAGGUGUGAAACCUCCAGGCUCAACCUGGAGACGCCACUUGAUACUGCUGUGACUGGAGUCCGGUAGGGGAGCGUGGAAUUCCUGGUGUAGCGGUGAAAUGCGUAGAUAUCAGGAGGAACACCUGUGGUGUAGACGGCUUUCUGGACCAUUGCUGACGCUGAGACACGAAAGCGUGGGUAGCAAACAGG
rnacentral:rRNA from 1 species